rnacentral:lncRNA from 1 species
UUUUUCGCAGAUUUGGCAUGUGCGAAGCUGUGAAGCUUGCAGGUGGCGUGUAGGCUUUUGCCUUAGCCAAAAGUGACGUGUGUAUGAUCAAAACCAAGUCCUUUCGGUCGUUCUAAGGUCGUAAACUCCAUGACUAGUUAGCAAAAGCUCCCUGACAUGAACAUAAACUAACUCAGAUGACCUAGAGGAUCCGAUCAUGAUGAUAAUUUUCCAGCUUUGAUAAGUCUUCAACGUCUUUUGCAAGACGGCAAUUGGUUUAAUAGCGUAGGGGGAUCCAAAAUCAAAAGCUUUCGGUAACUCCAAGUCAGUAUGACCAGGCAUGUCCGUGGAGGGUCGGUAGUGCGAGGCACACUUAAAACCACUAUCUCCUUAAUUUCGGACAAUUCUAAGACAUCACACUGAGCUUGGAUGAGCCUAGUUGAACAAUUGAUGAUGAAAAAUCCGCUAUAGGGUAAAAGACUUAACCGGAAACACGUGGGCGAUCCUCCUUGAGGAUGCAGUGCCAAGAGUCACCUUCAAAGGAAGGGACCAAAAUCGGUACAAUAUGCCAUGUUUCUAAGGACGAUGUAAGUGUACAUCUUGAUUGUAAAUCAAUAUGAACCAUAAGAGGAGAAUAGUUUCACUUCGAAAAAAUUCUCAAGGCAUUCAUUAUUGCUAAUGUGAGUACAUCGAGGUCUCAAAUAGACAAAGGACGUCGAUACAACGCCUUAGUACAUAUAACUUGGAACGAAAAUCAAUGUCUAGUCGAUGACAUCAAAGUCAUGGGUAGCUAGAGCAGGAUCUGAAUCUUUGAUAUUCGCGAUCAUGAGGAUGACGUUCUUGUCCUCAUAUUGAUUUUCCAUACCUUUUUGUAUGCAUUCACAAUUUAAAGGAGCUUGACAAUCUUGAACCAGUGAUCCGAAGAUCCACAACGGUUGCAUUAAUGUCAUGAGCUGACGUGAGUAGUUUUGACAAAAUAGUGUCUAGACCGGGAGUGUCGCUAUUAGAGCCGGCAACACCUCCCCCUCUUUUCUAGACAUCGGCACGACGUUUUCUGCCGUUG